UGGGGAAAAGCUCAAUUGGUAGAGUGUUUGCCUCACAUGCACAAAGCCUGGGUUCAAUCCCCAGCACCACAA
rnacentral:tRNA from 1 species